CCAAAGCUGUUACCCCACAUGGUACGAGUCUGAACAUUUGGUUCCCCGGGAACAACCAGCAGCAGUGCACUUUGUGCCACUGCUAGUUGUCCCCAGGGAACACCUUUGCCACACACACUCUGGUGCGUGGCAAGUUAGCCCGGGUGGG